rnacentral:tRNA from 1 species
GUUUAGGUGGCAGAGACAGGUGUAAAAUGCAAAAAGAUCUAAGCUCUUUACAACAGAAGUUCAAAUCUUCUCCUAAACU